rnacentral:sRNA from 1 species
UAUUGUGAUUAUUUUACCUAAGACAGUAGGAGUUAAUUUUUAACUUAAAACAAUAUCCUACCGAGGCUAAAAUUGACUUGAACGUGAUGAUUAUUAUAAUGAUCUUUCAAGCACUUUUUGCCGUGGGUAGAAAGUGCUUUUUUUAUUAA